rnacentral:rRNA from 1 species
AGAGUUUGAUCCUGGCUCAGGAUGAACGCUAGCGACAGGCUUAACACAUGCAAGUCGAGGGGCAGCGGGGGAGUAGCAAUACUCCCGCCGGCGACCGGCGCACGGGUGAGUAACACGUAUGAAACCUGCCCGUAGCAGGGGGAUAAGCGGAAGAAAUUCCGUCUAAUACCGCGUAACAACCCGAGGAGGCAUCUCCUCGGGUUUAAAGGGAGCGAUUCCGGCUACGGAUGGUCAUGCGUCGCAUUAGCUUGUUGGCGGGGUAACGGCCCACCAAGGCGACGAUGCGUAGGGGUUCUGAGAGGAAGGUCCCCCACACUGGUACUGAGACACGGACCAGACUCCUACGGGAGGCAGCAGUGAGGAAUAUUGGUCAAUGGCCGCAGGGCUGAACCAGCCAAGUCGCGUGAGGGAUGACGGUCCUAUGGAUUGUAAACCUCUUUUGUCAGGGAGCAAAGGGCGCCACGUGUGGCGUUUUGCGAGUACCUGAAGAAAAAGCAUCGGCUAACUCCGUGCCAGCAGCCGCGGUAAUACGGAGGAUGCGAGCGUUAUCCGGAU